rnacentral:lncRNA from 1 species
CCUUAGCCACAAGCUUGGCGAACGAGUGGAUCAGACUGAUCGGUCGAAAAUCUCUCAGGGUUGCAGAGUCAGGCUUCUUCAGGAUUAGCACCAACAGUGCUUGGUUCAAACCUUGGAAGCCACGUCCAUGCAACGCAUGUAGCUUGCCAAAGGCCGCCAUGACAUCAUCCUUGACUGUAGUCCAGCAAGCCUGAAAGAACUCGGCGG